UCGCUUCAGAUUGAAUUCUCUAACUGGUUUUGAAACUGAUUCUUUGCAGAUACAAGAAACACAUGGAGAAUCAUAUUCUUGCAACCACAGAUCAAUUCAGGUAUUCUGGCAGGCAAAAAGAAGAAAUUCAAAGCUGGAGUAGAAGAAAGAGCUAAAAAUUAACGGACCACUUACUUUGAAGUUUGAAGCUCAAGUGACAUUGAGGAGAAACUGUGCAAUUAUCCAGCUGUACUGACACCAUUAGGGAGCUUGUUCUGGAUCACAGGACUGGUCAAGCCCUUCAGUCCACUUGAAAACACUUUCCUAUUUCUGCCUGUAAUGCAGCCUUUCAGCCCCCUUCAAAAGUUGCAGCAUGGCUGGGUAGUACUCACACAUCAGGCCAUUUUCCAUCUGUGCAGUGAAAUGGAGUGCUAGUGCCCGAUGUGUUGGAAACUUCACUGCUUUUCACUUCUGUUUGGCUUUUUACCUUUUGCUGUUCUUUACCCUGAAUAAAAUUCCGACUUGUCCUGAAGUAUUUAUCA
rnacentral:lncRNA from 1 species